rnacentral:rRNA from 1 species
GCGAUACAGGGUGACAGCCCCGUACACAAAAAUGCACAUAUUGUGAGCUCGAUGAGUAGGGCGGGACACGUGGUAUCCUGUCUGAAUAUGGGGGGACCAUCCUCCAAGGCUAAAUACUCCUGACUGACCGAUAGUGAACCAGUACCGUGAGGGAAAGGCGAAAAGAACCCCGGCGAGGGGAGUGAAAAAGAACCUGAAACCGUGUACGUACAAGCAGUGGGAGCCUCUUAAUGGGGUGACUGCGUACCUUUUGUAUAAUGGGUCAGCGACUUAUAUUCUGUAGCAAGGUUAACCGAAUAGGGGAGCCGAAGGGAAACCGAGUCUUAACUGGGCGUUAAGUUGCAGGGUAUAGACCCGAAACCCGGUGAUCUAGCCAUGGGCAGGUUGAAGGUUGGGUAACACUAACUGGAGGACCGAACCGACUAAUGUUGAAAAAUUAGCGGAUGACUUGUGGCUGGGGGUGAAAGGCCAAUCAAACCGGGAGAUAGCUGGUUCUCCCCGAAAGCUAUUUAGGUAGCGCCUCGUGAAUUCAUCUCCGGGGGUAGAGCACUGUUUCGGCAAGGGGGUCAUCCCGACUUACCAACCCGAUGCAAACUGCGAAUACCGGAGAAUGUUAUCACGGGAG